CGGCGGCCAUGACAACAUGUGACCGUAAGACGAUGGAAUGGAUCACAUGGAACAAAUCCACCAAGAAAAAAUUUGUGAAUUGGACUUUGAAUCUUUGAUUGAUAAAUGGGUUCCAGACUCAUGAGUCUCAGGCUUCAAACUUGAGAAGGGUUUAGGUGUUUCAAUCCCGACCACACGGUCACGCAGACUGACAUUCCACUAAAAAAAUAUUUGGGUAUUUACCAAAGGCAAAAGUUUUUCUUAUUCCAUUGGGCAACACAAAAAUCUCUUUUGUCUCUAUCGAGAACUUCAGGGAGAUACAAUAACAGAGAGACAUAGAAGAGCCUCCUAACAGCUUCGAUUUUGGCAGUUCCCUGUGAAGCGAAGAAAGUGUAAUGGGAACCGCUCUCGACUCCCAUUUCCUAGCUCUCACUGCCAUCAUUACUGUGGGUUAUCAGUUGUUCUUCUUCGUUGUUACAGCUCUUCUUCAGUUCGACAAAGUCACUGAUUUUGCUGGCAGCACAAACUUUAUUAUUCUUGCCAUAUUGACUCUUGUUUUGAAAGGCACUUGGCAUUUUAGACAGGUAAUCUUGACUUUGCUUGUAGUAAUAUGGGGUCUUCGGCUAGCACUGUUCCUAUUAAUGAGAAUCUUGCAGUGGGGGGAAGACCGUCGUUUUGACGAAAUGCGCUCUAAUUUGUGGAAAUUGGCAGUUUUCUGGACAUUCCAGGCUGUCUGGGUAUGGACUGUGAGCUUACCUGUAACAGUUGUUAAUUCAAGUGACAGAAACCCUUCUCUUCAAGCUGAAGAUAUCAUUGGGUGGAUUAUUUGGAUCAUAGGUUUCACAGUUGAAGCUACAGCAGACCAGCAAAAGCUUCUAUUCAAGAACUCUAUGAACAAUAAAGGGAAGUGGUGCAAUGUUGGCCUCUGGAGAUUCUCCCGUCAUCCAAACUAUUUUGGUGAGAUUUUGCUCUGGUGGGGUAUUUUUGUGGCUUCUGCACCAGUGUUAGAAAGCAAUGAAUGGCUUGUAAUCCUAGGACCAAUCUUUCUCACUCUGUUGCUUCUUUUUGUCAGUGGCAUACCAUUACUUGAGGAAUCAGCAGAUAAGAAGUUUGGCAAUUUGGCAGAGUACAGGAUUUAUAAAAGAAAGACAAGCCCCCUCAUUCUGCUGCCCUCGGUUGUUUACAGGAACUUUCCUGCAUGGUUCAAAGCAGUUUUCCUUUUUGAAUUUCCCCUCUACAGCCGAAAUCUUCCUCAACAUGAAAGAUCCAACUUGUAAGGGUAACCUUCCUGCAUGGUUCAAAGCGGUUUUCCUUUUUGAAUUUCCCCUCUACAGUCGAAAUCUUCCUCAACAUGAAAGAUCCAACUUGUACGGGAAAAACCAGAGAGAUGGCAGCAAAGAAUUGAAGGUUCGAUGAUCACUUGGAUGAUCUAGUGGGACUCAUUGAUCUCUUGAUGACCUUGGAUUGUACAAUUUUUCGUCACUCUACCAUCUAUGGGUUGGUGUUGUUAUUCUUCUAUUGGAAACAACAUUGGGUGUAGUUUAAUAUUUUAUGUUUUCAAAAUUUGAGUCAAACUAUACUUGAUCCCACAUCAAAACUACAAUAGGGAUUGUAAUGAGUAACAAUUCAAUUUUGAUGCCAAGGAAUAUAGAUGUAUUAAGGACUUGUAAAUUGCUAUAAUAAAAGAAUCAAUUUUCGUGGUCUAA